rnacentral:pre_miRNA from 16 species
UUCUUUGGUUAUCUAGCUGUAUGGAUAUUUUGAACUUCAUAAAGCUACAUUACCGAAGGU